UUGGAUUGUUGGUGAACUGACAUUAUACAAGCACAGCACAUAGGCAAACACCCUGAAGAUGACUUCGAAAACUCUGGAAUCACCUGGGAAUGGGUAGAAAUUGCUGCUCAGGCUUUAAAGAAAGACUUUCCCUUCUCAUCAAGUGCUUCUGAGAGCUAACCAAAGGGAGAGGUCAAAUGCUUGCAGAAGAAAUAUUAAUGUAUUGUGGAGAUUGCAACAAAAGUGUGAUCCCUCUUUAAAAAGAAGAUUGUUAUCAAAACUCCAGAUGGCCAGCAUGUGAACAAAUGUGCCAUAGGCAAACAGGAUAUUCCUUCAUGUCCAUAUCCAAUUUCUUUACCAA
rnacentral:lncRNA from 11 species